rnacentral:misc_RNA from 1 species
GUCCCGACUCCGGAUAAUAACAACAGCGGAUGAUUCCUCGGAGGCGCCUGAGGGGAGGGAUGGUAGCGCCAGAGUGCAAGCCUCCAGUCAGAAUUCGGUACAGAGACAUAAUGAAGCUCGUCGGCCGUACAAAUCGACGGCUUCUCAGGAACUCUGACAGCAGCACCGGUGGAGAAUGCUCUCAACUUGAAGGAGGGGAAGAGAAG